AGCCCCACAGCAAGCGUUGACAGGCCAGUUCGAUCUAAUUUCUUUCCAUCAGGUCCCAGCAUUGACACCAUGCCCAGCAAGGGAAGAGGACUGCUGCAGUAAAGUGGCUGCGUGUCCCCGUUUCGGCCAGGGCAGGGUUAAUUUUUUAGGAUAGCCGAUUCGGUACCAUCUCCCAUCACUGAAAGGUACCGGAGCGAGGGACGUGCUCGCUCUUUCAGGGGAGGGAAAAAUGGUGUGGUGGAAGAGCUGGCUGAUUUGUCGUGGUUUUUUCUGUGUAAAUAGUUUCUUUGUCUUAUACCUUUUGUUGCUAACAUUGUUGCUGUUACUUUCGUUUUCUUAUCUCAUUGUUCUUUGCAGUAAAUUGUUCUUAUCUCGCCCUGUAAUCUCUGCCUCCAGUCUCCCAGCGGAUGAGGGGGGAAGGGGAGCACCAUCUGCCCAGGGAGACUCCGAGGAGUCCCAGGAGGUCACUAACCCAGGGACACCAACGUUCCUAACCACGGCACUGCUUUCAGGAGUGGCACCGACUUCAAGAGGAAAGCUUUGAAUCUUAUUAAGAACAAGGCUUAGCCGCUAAGCUCGCCUGGGUAUUGCUUAAGUAGGUGCAGCCAAUGUCACCUGCCAGAUGAACAGAGGAGCUGCAGUAGAGCACAGCUGCCAGUCAGAACUUAACUGGAUAUUGUAAAGACUGAGCUAUUGUUUCUAAAGGAAUCUGAAAAAAUCUGACUGAUGUGGAGAGUACUGCAGACCAGCCCAAAGAAAUGCUACCUGUCAUAAUGGCAGCACUAUCCAAAUUACUACAAAAACUGAUUUCUGCAGAGCAUCUGUCCACAGCAUGCCAUCUGCUACUUGGAGCAUGGUCUCCUCUCUUCCUGCUGGACCACUGCCUCAGCCUUAGAAGUCUUAUGCUUCUCAAGCCUUGCUGCAUCCACUUAAAACCCAACUUCGUAAGACACUGGAAGAAGGACUCCCACAAUUCUGCAGGCAGGUUUCUUCUUCCAUCAACAGCUUGAAACACUUCAUUGCUUAUGAUAAAUUUUGAGAGACAACAAACUAUGACAGUGCAGUAUACAGCUUUCCUAGAGUGCAGAUAGUACACAGAUAGUACACAGCAAGUGUCUCAAGACAGGCAAACUGAACUGGAUGCAAAGUACACUUAUGCAGUCUAGAAGUACCUAUCAACUGGUGAGAAGUUAAAGGUAAGGUAAGUAUAAACUGACUUGGCAGUGAAGGAAUGCUGAAGGGAUACUUGCACAUCAUUGGCUAUGGAAAACAAACUGCCAUUGAACAUUGUAUUUCUUAACUAAGAUUACUUAAUGACCCAUUCUUCCCAGAAAAUGUGAGCCUUGCAUUUAUUUUUUUUUUUUAACAGCAGUUUCCUAAACCAAAGUAAACCUCACAUUUAACUACCUGAGAGAAAAAUUCAUUAUCUAAUCAGAGCACUUGACCUGCUUAUUUUUGUUCACUUAUUGAAUCUUUUGGUCUUUUUACAGGAAACUUCAUUCCUUGGAAUUCAAUUUCCCUUUUUACACAGAAGUAUGGUGCUUUUCUCUCAGAUUCUCUCAGUCUUUUUGCAAUGAGUUAUUUCCAUUACUGAAGUUACUUAUUGAGGGCCAUAAUCUCCCAAUGUAGUUGCAGUACAUAGGGACAAAUCUGCACUGUCAAUUUCAGAUUAUGAGCAUAAGGGUUUUACAUUUAUGGUCUACUGAAUAUAAAUUCUGUUUAUCCUUACAUCCAGACGUAUCAACAGAAACUUCUUUCACAUAUGUAAUCAAAUAAUGGUGAAUACUUUUCAGUUGUGUGGAUUU